AAGUCGUAACAAGGUUUCCGUAGGUGAACCUGCGGAAGGAUCAAUCCAAAUAUUAUUAAUAUGUACAACUUUUUGUAUUGUAAUAAUAUGAAAAACCAAUGGUUUAUCAUUUGUAUGCAUAAUGCGAAUGAUAAGUCGUGAUUGCCGUUUGUAAAAGACUGUAAUGGUCUUUGGUAAUCGAACAACACAAUAUUUUAGCCUUUUGAAAUUUAAUAAAAAUCUACACACAACUAUUAGUGGUGGAUCACUUGGCUC
rnacentral:misc_RNA from 1 species